UACAGAGGUCUCAAGCGUUGUUCGGAUUCAUUGGGCGUAAAGGGUGCGUAGGUGGCGCGCUAAGUCAGGUGUGAAAUUUCGGAGCUUAACUCCGAAACUGCAUUUGAUACUGGCGUGCUUGAGGACUGGAGAGGAGACUGGAAUUCAUGGUGUAGCAGUGAAAUGCGUAGAUAUCGUAAGGAAGACCAGUGGCGAAGGCGGGUCUCUGGACAGUUCCUGACGCUGAGGCACGAAGGUCAGGGGAGCAAACGGG
rnacentral:rRNA from 1 species